AUUCUCAUACUGUUCUCCAAUCAUCCUAUUAUGCAUGAAUUUGGUUCUGUCUUUGGUGAAAUUUGCAUUAGCUUCUAUUGUUAUUGGGAAGAAGCUGAGCUCGAAAUCAACAAAGUAGUUUUGAUGUCAGGUUAUGGAAUUAGAUUUAAAGAGAAGGUAAGGAGGCUUUUCCUCAAUGAUUUCGUUUAAAGAGUGAUAAUGAUGAUUUGAAUUUGAUUUCAUCCCUAAUACAAAAUCUUAGAAUUAGGGUUCUUGUUAGGAUCUUGGGGAUUUGUGUUAUUAUUCAUGUUGUUAUACAAAUUGACGAAAUUGGUAUUUUCUAAUCAUGAUGAUUUUUUAAUAUGGUUUGAUUGAAACAAUUUACUUCAAUAUCGAUUCUUGCUUGAAAAUUCCGUAUGUCUUGUGCACCCUAAAAUGCAGAAUUUUAUUUUGCUUAUAUCUUAAAAUCUAACCGUUGGAAUCGGCUAAAAUUUUAGUAUGUUGUGUUCCAUUAGACCAUAAUACUACUGUAAAAAUUUGAGAACGAUCAGACAUGGGAAAGAAUGAAAAGUAUUCAAUAUACCGUGACUGUAUUCUGCUGAAUUGCAGCCUUGGAAAGUCGGACAAAUCAGUAUCUCAAAUCAUGAGAAAAUCUUGACUAAAGUUUGUAUACCGGCAGAGAAAGCAGCUAGGUUGUGAGGUGUAUAUCUUUUUAAUGGGCCGUUGAAAUAUUAUGAUUUUUGAAUAUGCUAUUGUACCCUAAGUUAUUGGCUACUGUAAGGAUUUUAAGACAAUCUGGAAAGAUUUCAUAAUGUAAAACUUGAAUAAACUGGAACUGCAUUCCGUAAA